rnacentral:rRNA from 1 species
UACGUAGGGGGCAAGCGUUGUCCGGAAUCAUUGGGCGUAAAGAGCGUGUAGGCGGUCCGGUAAGUCGGCUGUGAAAGUCCAGGGCUCAACCCUGGGAUGCCGGUCGAUACUGCCGGACUAGAGUUCGGAAGAGGCGAGUGGAAUUCCCGGUGUAGCGGUGAAAUGCGCAGAUAUCGGGAGGAACACCUAUGGCGAAGGCAGCUCGCUGGGACGUUACUGACGCUGAGGCGCGAAAGCGUGGGGAGCGAACAGG